rnacentral:rRNA from 1 species
GAUGAACGCUAGCGGGAGGCUUAAUACAUGCAAGUCGAGCGGUAAGGUUUUCGGACCCUAGAGCGGCGAACGGGUGAGGAACACGUGAGAAAUCUGCCUUCAACACUGGGAUAACUCCGGGAAACCGGGGCUAAUACCGGAUAUGAAACCUGCGGGCAUCCGCGGGUUUGGAAAGUUUUUCGGUUGAAGAUGAUCUCGCGGCCUAUCAGCUUGUUGGUGAGGUAAUGGCUCACCAAGGCGACGACGGGUAGCCGGCCUGAGAGGGCGACCGGCCACACUGGGACUGAGACACGGCCCAGACUCCUACGGGAGGCAGCAGUGGGGAAUAUUGGGCAAUGGAGGAAACUCUGACCCAGCGACGCCGCGUGCGGGAUGAAGGCCUUCGGGUUGUAAACCGCUUUCAGCAGGGAAGAAGCGAAAGUGACGGUACCUGCAGAAGAAGCACCGGCUAACUAUGUG